AUUGAACGCUGGCGGCAGGCCUAACACAUGCAAGUCGAGCGGAUGAAGGGAGCUUGCUCCUGGAUUCAGCGGCGGACGGGUGAGUAAUGCCUAGGAAUCUGCCUGGUAGUGGGGGAUAACGUCCGGAAACGGGCGCUAAUACCGCAUACGUCCUGAGGGAGAAAGUGGGGGAUCUUCGGACCUCACGCUAUCAGAUGAGCCUAGGUCGGAUUAGCUAGUUGGUGGGGUAAAGGCCUACCAAGGCGACGAUCCGUAACUGGUCUGAGAGGAUGAUCAGUCACACUCGAACUGAGACACGGUCCAGACUCCUACGGGAGGCAGCAGUGGGGAAUAUUGGACAAUGGGCUAAAGCCUGAUCCAGCCAUGCCGCGUGUGUGAAGAAGGUCUUCGGAUUGUAAAGCACUUUAAGUUGGGAGGAAGGGCAGUAAGUUAAUACCUUGCUGUUUUGACGUUACCAACAGAAUAAGCACCGGCUAACUUCGUG
rnacentral:rRNA from 1 species